rnacentral:rRNA from 1 species
CGGGUGCGUAACACGUAUGCAACCUACCUUCUACAGGGGUACAGCCUUCCGAAAGGGAGAUUAAUACCGCAUGAGACCACACUUAUUCAUAUAAGAGGGGUUAAAGAUUUAUCGGUAGAAGAUGGGCAUGCGUCUGAUUAGUUAGUUGGCGGGGUAAUGGCUCACCAAGACGAUGAUCAGUAGGGGAUCUGAGAGGAUUAUCCCCCACACUGGCACUGAGAUACGGGCCAGACUCCUACGGGAGGCAGCAG